rnacentral:rRNA from 1 species
AACCAGCACCUCGGGUGGGCACUAUAAGNAGACUGCCGGUGACAAACCGGAGGAAGGUGGGGAUGACGUCAAGUCAUCAUGGCCCUUACGGCCAGGGCUACACACGUGCUACAAUGGUCGGUACAAAGGGUUGCCAAGCCGCGAGGUGGAGCUAAUCCCAUAAAACCGAUCGUAGUCCGGAUCGCAGUCUGCAACUCGACUGCGUGAAGUCGGAAUCGCUAGUAAUCGUGAAUCAGAAUGUCACGGUGAAUACGUUCCCGGGCCUUGUACACACCGCCCGUCACACCAUGGGAGUGGGUUGCUCCAGAAGUAGCUAGUCUAACCGC